UCCGCGGUAGCUCAGUGGUAGAGCAAUCGGCUGUUAACCGAUCGGUCGUAGGUUCGAAUCCUACCCGCGGAGCCA
rnacentral:tRNA from 13 species